rnacentral:rRNA from 1 species
UACGUAGGGGGCGAGCGUUGUCCGGAUUUAUUGGGCGUAAAGAGCUCGUAGGCGGUUUGGUAAGUCGGAUGUGAAAUCUCCAGGCUCAACCUGGAGGGGUCAUUCGAGACUGCCAUGACUAGAGUUCGGUAGAGGAGUGUGGAAUUCCUGGUGGAGCGGUGAAAUGCGCAGAUAUCGGGAGGAACACCAGUAGCGAAGGCGGCUCGCUGGGCCAUUCCUGACGCUGAGACGCGAAAGCUAGGGGAGCGAACAGG